rnacentral:rRNA from 1 species
GCAGUCGAGGGGUAUAGGUUUUCGGACCUAGAGACCGGCGCACGGGUGCGUAUUGCGUAUGCAAUCUACCUUUUACAGAGGGAUAGCCCAGAGAAAUUUGGAUUAAUACCUCAUAGUAUUAUUGAAUGGCAUCAUUUAAUAAUUAAAGUCACAACGGUAAAAGAUGAGCAUGCGUCCCAUUAGCUAGUUGGUAAGGUAACGGCUUACCAAGGCAACGAUGGGUAGGGGUCCUGAGAGGGAGAUCCCCCACACUGGUACUGAGACACGGACCAGACUCCUACGGGAGGCAGCAGUGAGGAAUAUUGGUCAAUGGGCGCAAGCCUGAACCAGCCAUGCCGCGUGCAGGAUGAAGCAUCUAUGGUGUGUAAACUGCUUUUGUACGAGAAGAAACACUCCUUCGUGAAGGAGCUUGACGGUAUCGUAAGAAUAAGGACCGGCUAACUCCGUGCCAGCAGCCGCGGUAAUACGGAGGGUCCAAGCGUUAUCCGGAAUCAUUGGGUUUAAAGGGUCCGUAGGCGGUUUUGUAAGUCAGUGGUGAAAGCCCAUCGCUCAACGGUGGAACGGCCAUUGAUACUGCAAGACUUGAAUUAUUAGGAAGUAACUAGAAUAUGUAGUGUAGCGGUGAAAUGCUUAGAGAUUACAUGGAAUACCAAUUGCGAAGGCAGGUUACUACUAAUGGAUUGACGCUGAUGGACGAAAGCGUGGGUAGCGAACAGGAUUAGAUACCCUGGUAGUCCACGCCGUAAACGAUGGAUACUAGCUGUUCGGAGCAAUCUGAGUGGCUAAGCGAAAGUGAUAAGUAUCCCACCUGGGGAGUACGUUCGCAAGAAUGAAACUC